UCCCCCAGGAAAUUCCUGUUUUCAUGCCC
rnacentral:piRNA from 1 species